rnacentral:ncRNA from 1 species
CCUAUUGAGUGUUAUAUCAAAUGGUAGUAGGAGUGGAGUGAAUCUCCACUCCGAGGGCAGACACGAUGAUGUAGGAA